GCUCCCGAUGAGAGUGGCGCACGGGUGCGUAACACGUAUGUAACCUACCUUAGUCAGGGGGAUAGCCUCUCGAAAGAGAGAUUAAGACCGCAUAACAUCAUUGAAUGGCAUCGUUUGAUGAUCAAAUAUUUAUAGGACUAAGAUGGGCAUGCGCAACAUUAGCUAGUUGGUGUGGUAACGGCAUACCAAGGCUACGAUGUUUAGGGGAUCUGAGAGGAUGACCCCCCACACUGGUACUGAGACACGGACCAGACUCCUACGGGAGGCAGCAGUAAGGAAUAUUGGUCAAUGGACGGAAGUCUGAACCAGCCAUGCCGCGUGCAGGAAGACGGCCCUAUGGGUUGUAAACUGCUUUUGCAGGGGAAUAAACCUCGGUACGUGUACCGAGUUGAAUGUACCUUGAGAAUAAGGAUCGGCUAACUCCGUGCCAGCAGCCGCGGUAAUACGGAGGAUCCAAGCGUUAUCCGGAUUUAUUGGGUUUAAAGGGUGCGUAGGCGGCCUGUUAAGUCAGGGGUGAAAGACGGUAGCUCAACUAUCGCAGUGCCCUUGAUACUGAUGGGCUUGAAUGUACUAGAGGUAGGCGGAAUGUGACAAGUAGCGGUGAAAUGCAUAGAUAUGUCACAGAACACCAAUUGCGAAGGCAGCUUACUAUGGGUAUGAUUGACGCUGAGGCACGAARSCGUGGGGAUCAAACAGGAUUAGAUACCCCUGGCAGUCCACGCCCUAAACGAUGAACACUCGAUGUUGGCGAUAUACGGUCAGCGUCUAAGCGAAAGCG
rnacentral:rRNA from 1 species